UGAACGAGCAGGUAACUCCUGCUGGAGAAACAUUGAAAGAAAUCAACGUUAAGAUCGAGGAAGAGAUGGAGGAUCAGCGCAGACUGAUGGAUUUCACUCGGAUACCGAAGAUAAUUUUACAUCGGACAGAACUGCUUCCUUCCUGAUCCUGGUUGUCAUCCUCAGCAGAGUCAUGAGAGAUUAGUUGGUUUCUCUGUGGUUCUGUUUCAUUGUGGAUUCUUUGCACUUUAGAAGGCAUCAUCAAAAUG